GUCUCCGUGAGCUCAGUGGUCAGAGCGCUGCAAUGAAAUUGCAGAUUCGCAGGUUCGAUUCCUGCCGGAGCCG